UACGAACUGUGCGAACGUUAUUCGGAAUCACUGGGCUUAAAGAGCGCGUAGGCGGCGUCGUAAGUUGGAGGUGAAAGCCCACGGCUCAACCGUGGAAUUGCCCCCAAUACUGCGAUGCUUGAGGAAGGUAGGGGUUUGUGGAACUUCCGGUGGAGCGGUGAAAUGUGUUGAGAUCGGAAGGAACGCCGGCGGCGAAAGCGACAAACUGGAUCUUUUCUGACGCUGAGGCGCGAAAGCUAGGGGAGCAAACGGG
rnacentral:misc_RNA from 1 species